rnacentral:rRNA from 1 species
AGGUAAGCUACUAAGAGCGAAUGGUGGAUGCCUUGACUGGUAAAGGCGAUGAAGGACGUACUAGACUGCGAUAAGCUACGGGGAGCUGUCAAGAAGCUUUGAUCCGUAGAUUUCCGAAUGGGGCAACCCAAUGUAUAGAGAUAUACAUUACCUAUAUAGGAGCGAACGAGGGGAAUUGAAACAUCUUAGUACCCUCAGGAAAAGAAAUCAAUAGAGAUUGCGUCAGUAGCGGCGAGCGAAAGCGCAAGAGGGCAAACCCAGUGCUUGCACUGGGGGUUGUAGGACUGCAAUGUGCAAGAGGUAAGUUUAGCAGAACAUUCUGGAAAGUAUAACCAUAGAGGGUGAUAGUCCCGUAUGCGAAAAACAAACCUUAGCUAGCAGUAUCCUGAGUAGGGCGGGACACGAGGAAUCCUGUCUGAAUCCGGGUCGACCACGAUCCAACCCUAAAUACUAAUACCAGAUCGAUAGUGCACAAGUACCGUGAGGGAAAGGUGAAAAGAACUGAGGUGAUCAGAGUGAAAUAGAACCUGAAACCAUUUGCUUACAAUCAUUCAGAGCCCUAUGUAGCAAUACAGGGUGAUGGACUGCCUUUUGCAUAAUGAGCCUGCGAGUUGUGGUGUCUGGCAAGGUUAAGCAAACGCGAAGCCGUAGCGAAAGCGAGUCUGAAUAGGGCGCUUAGUCAGAUGCUGCAGACCCGAAACGAAGUGAUCUAUCCAUGAGCAAGUUGAAGCUAGUGUAAGAACUAGUGGAGGACUGAACCCAUAGGCGUUGAAAAGCCCCGGGAUGACUUGUGGAUAGGGGUGAAAGGCCAAUCAAACUUCGUGAUAGCUGGUUCUCUCCGAAAUAUAUUUAGGUAUAGCGUUGUGUCGUAAUAUAAGGGGGUAGAGCACUGAAUGGGCUAGGGCAUACACCAAUGUACCAAACCCUAUCAAACUCCGAAUACCUUAUAUGUAAUCACAGCAGUCAGGCGGCGAGUGAUAAAAUCCGUCGUCAAGAGGGAAACAACCCAGACUACCAGCUAAGGUCCCUAAAUCUUACUUAAGUGGAAAACGAUGUGAAGUUACUUAAACAACCAGGAGGUUGGCUUAGAAGCAGCCAUCCUUUAAAGAAAGCGUAAUAGCUCACUGGUCUAGUGAUUUUGCGCGGAAAAUAUAACGGGGCUAAAGUAAGUACCGAAGCUGUAGACUUGCACACAACUUAGAUUAUUUAAGUUUAGAAUAUGAGAAACUAAGUUAUAUGUUUAGUUAUAUUUUUACUGAUUUUUAUAGAGUAAAGAUAGAAAUAAAACUUAGUAAAAUCAGUAAAAAUAUUCUUAGACUAAAGUUAAGUAGUUUAAGUUGUGUGCAAGUGGUAGGAGAGCGUUCUAUUUGCGUCGAAGGUAUACCGGUAAGGAGUGCUGGAGCGAAUAGAAGUGAGCAUGCAGGCAUGAGUAGCGAUAAUUAAUGUGAGAAUCAUUAACGCCGUAAACCCAAGGUUUCCUACGCGAUGCUCGUCAUCGUAGGGUUAGUCGGGUCCUAAGUCGAGUCCGAAAGGGGUAGACGAUGGCAAAUUGGUUAAUAUUCCAAUACCAACAUUAGUGUGCGAUGGAAGGACGCUUAGGGCUAAGGGGGCUAGCGGAUGGAAGUGCUAGUCUAAGGUCGUAGGAGGUUAUACAGGCAAAUCCGUAUAACAAUACUCCGAGAACUGAAAGGCUUUUUGAAGUCUUCGGAUGGAUAGAAGAACCCCUGAUGCCGUCGAGCCAAGAAAAGUUUCUAAGUUUAGCUAAUGUUGCCCGUACCGUAAACCGACACAGGUGGGUGGGAUGAGUAUUCUAAGGCGCGUGGAAGAACUCUCUUUAAGGAACUCUGCAAAAUAGCACCGUAUCUUCGGUAUAAGGUGUGGUUAGCUUUGUAUUAGGAUUUACUCCGAAAGCAAGGAAACUUACAACAAAGAGUCCCUCCCGACUGUUUACCAAAAACACAGCACUCUGCUAACUCGUAAGAGGAUGUAUAGGGUGUGACGCCUGCCCGGUGCUCGAAGGUUAAUUGAUGGGGUUAGCAUUAGCGAAGCUCUUGAUCGAAGCCCGAGUAAACGGCGGCCGUAACUAUAACGGUCCUAAGGUAGCGAAAUUCCUUGUCGGUUAAAUACCGACCUGCAUGAAUGGCGUAACGAGAUGGGAGCUGUCUCAAAGAGGGAUCCAGUGAAAUUGUAGUGGAGGUGAAAAUUCCUCCUACCCGCGGCAAGACGGAGAGACCCCGUGGACCUUUACUACAGCUUGACACUGCUACUUGGAUAAGAAUGUGCAGGAUAGGUGGGAGGCUUUGAGUAUAUGACGCCAGUUGUAUAUGAGCCAUUGUUGAGAUACCACUCUUUCUUAUUUGGGUAGCUAACCAGCUUGAGUUAUCCUCAAGUGGGACAAUGUCUGGUGGGUAGUUUGACUGGGGCGGUCGCCUCCCAAAUAAUAACGGAGGCUUACAAAGGUUGGCUCAGAACGGUUGGAAAUCGUUCGUAGAGUAUAAAGGUAUAAGCCAGCUUAACUGCAAGACAUACAAGUCAAGCAGAGACGAAAGUCGGUCUUAGUGAUCCGGUGGUUCUGUGUGGAAGGGCCAUCGCUCAAAGGAUAAAAGGUACCCCGGGGAUAACAGGCUGAUCUCCCCCAAGAGCUCACAUCGACGGGGAGGUUUGGCACCUCGAUGUCGGCUCAUCGCAUCCUGGGGCUGGAGCAGGUCCCAAGGGUAUGGCUGUUCGCCAUUUAAAGCGGUACGCGAGCUGGGUUCAGAACGUCGUGAGACAGUUCGGUCCCUAUCUGCCGUGGGCGUAAGAAGAUUGAAGAGAUUUGACCCUAGUACGAGAGGACCGGGUUGAACAAACCACUGGUGUAGCUGUUGUUCUGCCAAGAGCAUCGCAGCGUAGCUAAGUUUGGAAAGGAUAAACGCUGAAAGCAUCUAAGCGUGAAGCCAACUCUAAGAUGAAUCUUCUCUAAGCUCUCUAGAAGACUACUAGUUUGAUAGGCUGGGUGUGUAAUGGAUGAAAGUCCUUUAGCUGACCAGUACUAAUAGAGCGUUUGGCUUAUCUUU